GAAUUAUUGAGAUAUAUUUGGUCUAUGAAAACUUUGCAUAUAAUUAACAUAUACAAUGUGGUGAGUUUGGAUGUAUGCAUGCACUCGUGUUACCAUCAUCAGAUCAAGGUAACAAACAUAUCUAUCACCUCUGAAAGUUUCCAUGUGUUUCUCUUAUUUUUUAAACACAGAAAACUGUACUUGAACAAUGGUUAAAAUAAAAUUAAAA